AGCAGCCGCGGUAAUUCCAGCUCCAAUAGCGUAUAUUAAAGUUGUUGCAGUUAAAAAGCUCGUAGUUGAAUUUCGGGGUUAGUAGGUUGGUCAUGCCUCCGGUAUGUACUGAUCUCACUGAUUCCUCCUUCCUUAUGAACCGUAAUGCCAUUAAUUUGGUGUUGCGGGGAAUUUGGACUGUUACUUUGAAAAAUUAGAGUGUUUAAAGCAGGCUAACGCUUGAAUACAUUAGCAUGGAAUAAUGAAAUAGGACGUUCGAUCUUAUUUUGUUGGUUUCUAGGAUUGACGUAAUGAUUAAUAGGGAUAGUUGGGGGCAUUAGUAUUCAAUUGUCAGAGGUGAAAUUCUUGGAUUUAUUGAAGACUAACUACUGCGAAAGCAUUUGCCAAGGAUGUUUUCAUUAAUCAAGAACGAAAGUUAGGGGAUCGAAGACGAUCAGAUACCGUCGUAGU
rnacentral:rRNA from 1 species